GAGGCCCUGCAGGUGCACCGCUCAAAGAACGAAAGCGAAACCGCGCCACCUGCUAAAGCGGCUGCUGCAACCGGACCUCCCGCGCGCAGGCGCCCCAGCUCCCGGGCCACGCCCCCUACUCGGUCCAAGCCAGCCAAUGGGAGGCGGCGGCCAGGAGGGCUCAAGACUUCAGAAGGGCCCUCAGCCUCCCUUCACAGGUCCGCGGACCGAGGAGCUUGACGUCACCAAUGCGCGCCGGAAGUACGUAAUCUGCGGAGCGCUGCUCAACCUGAAGAAAGGAAGUUGGCCUGGAAGCGCCUGGGUAGUGUUGGCGAGGCCCCGGGCAGCCGCGGUGGCUGCUUUGACCAGUUGAGAGCGGCGAGAUGGGAGACGAGAUGGACGCCGUGAUCCCCGAGCGGGAGAUGAAGGAUUUUCAGUUUAGAGCACUGAAGAAGGUGAGAAUCUUUGACUCCCCUGAGGAGCUGCCGAAGGAACGCUCAAGUCUACUUGCCGUGUCCAACAAGUAUGGCCUGGUCUUUGCCGGUGGAGCCAGUGGGUUGCAGAUUUUUCCUACCAAAAAUCUUCUUAUUCAGAAUAAACCUGGCGAUGAUCCCAAUAAGAUAGUUGAUAAAGUUCAGAGCCUGCUGGUUCCUAUGAAAUUCCCGAUACAUCACCUGGCCCUAAGCUGCGAUAACCUCACGCUUUCCGUGUGCAUGAUGUCCAGUGAAUAUGGCUCCAUUAUUGCUUUUUUUGAUGUUCGCACCUUUUCAAAUGAGGCUAAGCAGCAGAAACGUCCGUUUGCCUAUCACAAGCUCUCGAAAGAUGCAGGAGGCAUGGUGAUUGACAUGAAGUGGAACCCUACCGUCGCCUCCAUGGUGGCAGUUUGUCUGGCCGAUGGCAGCAUUGCUGUCCUGCAAGUCACAGAAACCGUGAAAGUGUGUGCCACUCUUCCCUCCACAGUAGGAGUAACAUCUGUGUGCUGGAGCCCCAAAGGAAAGCAGCUGGCAGUGGGCAAACAGAAUGGGACCGUGGUCCAGUAUCUUCCUACUUUGCAGGAAAAAAAAGUCAUCCCUUGUCCACCGUUUUAUGUGUCAGAUCAUCCUGUCCGAGUUCUGGAUGUGCUGUGGAUCGGCACCUAUGAAUUCACAGUGGUCUAUGCCGCUGCGGACGGGACCUUGGAAACGUCUCCAGAUGUGGUGAUGGCUCUGCUUCCGAAAAAAGAAGAAAAGCACCCAGAGGUGUUCGUGAACUUCAUGGAGCCCUGCUACGGCAGCUGCACAGAGAGGCAGCAUCACUACUACCUGAACUACGUGGAGGAAUGGGAUUUAGUGCUGGCAGCAUCUGCGUCUUCGAUAGAAGUUAGUAUCCUUGCUCGACAGAGCGGCCAGAGCAAUUGGGAAUCUUGGCUGCUAGAGGAUUCGAGUCGAGCUGAGCUGCCUGUGACAGACAAGAGUGACGAUUCCCUGCCCGUGGGCGUCGCCAUAGAUUUCACCACCCAAGUGGAAAUCACUGUCAAUGACGAGAAGACUCUUCCCCCUGCUCCAGUUCUUAUGCUGCUUUCGACAGAUGGUGUGCUUUGUCCAUUUUACAUGAUCAAUCAAAAUCCUGGCGUCAGGUCCCUCCUCAGGACACCAGAGCGGCUCUCGUUAGAAGGAGAGCGACAACCCAAGUCAUCAGGAAGCACCCCUUCCACCCCAACCUCCUCUCAGGCCCCUCAGAAGCUCGAUGCUCCAGCAGCCGUAGCUCCUGCCUCUGUUCUGCCCUCACCACCGGCGGCUCCCGCCUCCACCUUCUCCUUGCCUCCCGCUGUGGGAGCCCCUGCCGUGUUCUCCUUUGGUUCUUCAUCCUCGAAAGCAUCUGGUCCUGUGGCUGGGGAGGCCCCUCCGUUCUCCAGUGGCUCUGACAGCUCCAAAGCGACCCCGGGCUCUGGCGCAGCCACCUUCUCUUUCGCGCCUCCGCCUCCUCCAACUUCCCUCACGCUCACCCCUGCGGCCUCUCCCAUGGCACCACCAGCGGCCUCGUUCUCCUUCGGAUCAUCGGGUUUUAAGCCUACCCUGGAAAGCACACCAGUGCCAAGUGUGUCCACUCCAAACAUAGGAAUGAAGCCCACCUUCCCGCCAUCAGCGUCUGCAGUCAAGGUCAACCUUAGCGAAAAGUUUACUGCCUCGGCCCCCGCGGCUCCGGCUCCGGUGCACAGCUCACAGAGCGCGCCCUCCAUGCUGCCCUUCUCCGCCUCGAAGCCGGCCUCCUCCGGAGCCCUCAGCCACCCCGCGCCCCUCUCGGCCUCAGCCACCUCCGUGUCGUCCAAGUCCUCGGGCUCCCCGUCGGCAGCACGAUCCUCCCAGGGCAGCCCAAAUCCAGUGCCCUCGCUGGUGCAGAAAUCACCUAGGAUAACCCCUCCGGUGGCCAAGCCAGGCUCUGCUCAGGCAAAAUCACUUCAGCCGCCUGUUACAGAAAAGCAGGGACAUCAGUGGAAGGAAGCAGAUCCUGUGAUGGCUGGAAUUGGGGAGGAGAUCGCUCACUUUCAGAAGGAGCUGGAGGAGUUGAAAGCCCGAACUUCCAAAGCCUGUUUCCAAGUGGGCACUCCUGAGGAGAUGAAGAUGCUGCGGACAGAGUCAGAUGAGCUGCACACCUUUCUUUUGGAGAUUAAAGAGACCACGGAGUCUCUUCAUGGAGAUAUAAGUACCCUGAAAACAACUUUACUGGAGGGCUUUGCUGGCGUUGAAGAAGCCAGAGAACAAAACGAGAGGAAUCGGGACUCCGGGUACGUGCAUCUGCUCUACAAGAGGCCUCUGGAUCCCAAGAGCGAGGCUCAGCUCCAGGAAAUUCGGCGGCUUCAUCAGUACGUGAAGUUUGCUGUCCAGGACGUGAAUGACGUUCUAGACUUGGAGUGGGAUCGGCAUCUGGAGCAGAAGAGAAAACAAAAGCGCCUGCUUGUACCAGAGCGAGAGACACUGUUUAACACGCUUGCCAACAACCGGGAAAUCAUCAACCAGCAGAGGAAGCGGCUGAAUCACCUGGUGGACAGUCUCCAGCAGCUCCGUCUUUAUAAGCAGACCUCCCCGUGGAGCCGAGGCUUGGAUGCCCCCUCCCAGAGCAGCACUCAGAGUUUUGACAGUGACCUUGAAAGCCUGCGCAACGCUCUGUUGAAGACGACCCUAGAGUCUCACUCCAAACCCUUGCCCAAGGUACCAGCUAAACUAUCCCCGGUGAAGCAGGCACAGCUGAGAAACUUCUUAGCCAAGCGGAAGACCCCACCAGUGAGAUCCACUGCUCCAGCCAGCCUGUCUCGGUCGGCCUUCCUGUCUCAGAGAUACUACGAAGACUUGGAUGAAGUGAGUUCAACGUCGUCCAUCUCCCAGUCUUUGGAGAGUGAGGACGCGCGGGCCUCCGGGAAAGAGGAGGAGGCAGCGGUCCAGGUCCCCCGGCACGCUCCUGUGGUUCGAACGCCCUCCAUCCAGCCCAGUCUCUUGCCCCAGGCGACUCCUUUUGCUAAAUCUCCCCUGAGUCAUGGUUCGCCUGCUGGGAUGGGAACUUCAGUGUCUACAUCUCCGAGCAAGGUGAUUCCUCAAGGGGCUGAUAGCACGAUGCUGGCAACCAAGACCGUGAAGCAUGGUGCCCCUGGGCCUUCCCACCCCAUCUCCGCUCCCCAGGCGGCCGCCGCCGCCGCCCUGAGACGGCAGAUGGCCAGCCAGGCACCAGCUGUAAGUACUUUGACUGAAUCAACUUUGAAGAAUGUCCCUCAGGUGGUGAAUGUGCAGGAAUUGAAGAACAAUCCUACCGCCCCCUCUGCAGCCCUGGGCGCUUCAGUGCCGUACUCUGCAGCCAAGACACCUCACCCCGUGCUGAGCCCCGUGACUGCUAACCAGACUAAGCAGGGGUCGCUGAUAAAUUCCCUAAAGCCACCCGGGUCCACCCCAGCAUCCAGUCAGUUGUCAUCUGGUGAUAAAGCUUCAGGACCAGGGGCAGCCAAGAUAGAAGCGGCUGUGACUUCCACUCCAUCUGCUGUCGGGCAGUUCAGCAAGACUUUCUCCUUUUCUCCGUCAGGGACUGGAUUCAAUUUUGGGAUGAUCCCACCAGCACCAUCGUCUAGUUUCACUGCCGCACAAGGGCCACCGCCCCCCAGUAAAGAGUCAAGCCAGCUCGCCCCGUUCUCCUUUGGCGGGGGAGGCAAACCGUUUUAUGAGACCGGGCCCGAGAGCCCCGCUCCCUCGGCAGGGACGACGUCAAAUACCCCCGGACCUGCCGCCACCUCCCCCGGAGAGCCCGCUGCACCCGGCAGCAGAGCCACGGCGCCCUCUGGACCCUCUGGACCCUCUGCUCCGGUGCCUUCCACCCCUGCGGGCAAGCCGGAAGCUCCGCCGUCCAAGGCGGGAGAGCUCCUCUUUCCAAGCUCUCUGGCUGGAGAGACCCUGGGAAGUUUCUCGGGCCUGCGGGUUGGCCAAGCGGAGGAUUCUGCGAAGCCGGCCAACAAGGCUUCCUCCGGCGGCCUCGCUGGUGCCGGUGCUCAGCCCCCCAAGCCGUCGCCCUUCAGUUUCACGGGCCCAGCCACCCCGGCCACCGCCAGCACCAGCGCCCCCAGCUCCACGGCCGGCGUCUUCAGCAGCCUGCCGCCCACCACGGCCGGCUCCUCGGGGGUCAUCAGCUUUGGGGGGAUGUCGCUGAGUGGCACUAAGACCAGCUUUUCAUUUGGAGGCCCACCGACGAGUGGUGCCGCGCCCUCCUCUGCCCCGUCGGCUACCACUGCCCCUUCGCUGCCUGCGUCGUUCACCUUGUCGUUUGGGGGCCUCCUGAGCUCAGCAUCUGCUCCCACCCCGCCCGUGGCCUCUGGUAAAAGCGCCGAAGAAGCCGCGCCGUCGGCUUUGCCUGAGAAGCCGGGUGGCAGCGAGGCCUCGGCACCAGCCGCCUCCCUUCUGGGGCAGCACCCAGCAGCCCCGCUGCCCCAGGCUCCUCUUCCGGCUUCGGACUCUGUCAAGAAAGAACCCGCUCCGGCCCAGCCCGCCGUCAGCAACCCCAGCGCUGCGGCGUCCGGGUCCGUUGUCGCAGCGCCUCCCGCGGAGCCCACGCCAGCGGCCCCUGGGAGCCCCGACGUCCAGCCGGAGCCGCCAGCGCCCAGCCUUUCGGCUCCCGGGCAGGCCGCCGUCGCCGCACCUGCAGUCGCAAGCCCGGUCCCUGCGGCCCCAGAAACAUCCCGACCCCCCGCAACCGCCAGUGUUGUGUCCAGUGGUGGCCCGAGCCCCGCUGCGGAGACGCCGGUGUUUGGGACUGUCACUUCGGGCUCGUCUGUCUUUACUCAGCCACCUGCCAGCAGUUCUAGCUCAGCUUUCAGCCAGCUCACCGGCAACCCAGCCACUGCCCCCUCUGCCACCCCCAUGUUCGGGCAGGUGGCCGCCAGCACGGCGCCAAGCCUGUUUGGGCAGCAGACAGGCAGCCUCGCCAGCACGGCGGCCGCCACGCCGCAGGUCAGCAGCGCAGGGUUCGGCAGUCCGGCUUUUGGCGCCUCCAGCACAGGGGUCUUUGGACAGACGAGCUUCGGGCAGGCCCCGGCCUUCGGGCAGUCGACAAGCAGCCCCGGGAGCGUCUUUUCCUUCAGUCAGCCCGGCUUCAGCUCCGUGCCCGCUUUUGGUCAGGCUGCGUCCUCCACCCCUGCCUCCAGCAGCGGGAAUGUCUUCGGUGCCUCUUCAAGCACCAGCAGCUCCAGCUCCUUCUCGUUCGGACAGUCUUCUGCCAACACCGGAGGGGGCCUCUUUGGCCAGAGCAACCUUCCUGCCUUUGGUCAGAGUCCUGGCUUCGGGCAGGGAGGCUCUGUGUUUGGUGGCACCUCGGCCGCCACCACGACGGCCUCCUCCUCGGGGUUUAGCUUUUGUCAAGCUUCAGGUUUUGGGUCUAGUAAUACUGGUUCUUUGUUUGGUCAAGCAGCCAAUACCGGGGGCACAGUCUUCGGCCAGGUAAAUACGUGUGUUUGCCUCUUUUCAUGUCCGCGCCCAUCAGACCCACGCGUGCUAUUCGUGUAUCACUAGCAGGCGCGCCCAGCCCAGCAGACAGCCCUGUGGUCCUCGGGCUCUGCCCUCGGGGGUUCUCUCGGGGAGGCGGAAGCCUCAGCCUCUGAUUUGAGAAAAUCACGACUGUUUUGAUCCUUGGCAGUCCUUCCGGAAAGCCCUUUAAAGCACAUUGCUUGAUUUCCAUUCAUCUUCUGCCUGUUGUUAGGUUCCUUGGCCCUUCUUUUUUUUUUUUUUUUUAAAGGCUCUUGAACUGAGUUUAUUUAUUUUUUUUAAGUGGUUGUUUAAGCGAGAAGAAAAAGAAUGCAGCAGAAACUGUGUGUGUUCUUUGUGCUAAGCUAUUUGGUGACCUGAGCCACGCCAGUGUGUCCAGAUAGUGGUUCUUGGUGUUGGGUGUGGUUUGGGGGGCUGUAUGUGAAUUGACACACCAGUGCUUGUGUAAGGCAGGUGCUGUUGUUAUCCCCACCUGACAGAUGAAGACACUGAGGACUCCGAGGGGUUCAGUUCACUGUUAGAAAAGCCAGCUGCUCUUAGACCAUAGUGCGCUCACAAGGCGUCCUGACCUGUUGGCGUGAUGGUGGCUUUCUGAAGGUGGAGUUGGUGUUUGCCCGCCAUUGAGAAAGUGGCGGCCAUAACCACAUGUUUCUUAUGGGUCUUCAGGAGGGGACCUUCUUUAUCAUCUUUUCUCUUUGAAGAUGGGCUCUGUCCUUGUCUGAUCCUGGACAGAAACUGAGAGUUGGGAUUUUUUUCAAGUUCUGAUCAUCAUGUGUAACGUCAUUCAAACCAAGUUCCUCCCUGAAAAACAGCUAAAAUGGCUAGGUAAAACAUAAAGACCGUAGUUUUUGAAGCACUUAUAAACCAACAAGCUGUUUUCCCAAACCAGAUUAAAGGGGAAAUGGGAGCCUGUAGAGGCGCCCAGGAGCCAGCUCUGCCCUGCGAGCAUCCUUUACUCGGAGAACACCUGACUGCCCUGUGUUAGUAACUUAAAGGGCAAAGGGGCAGACGCCUCUCCCCAAGGUCUGCGCUGAGAGGCCCUCGCGCCGUGUCCACCAGUCUCAGCCGGAGGAUGUGGCCUGAGCCAGCUCGAGCAUGCUGGUGUCUCCAGAUGUCUGGCGGAACAGCACAGACCCCUCUGGAGAAAAGUAACUUUCCGCCGCAGAUAAUCCUAGAGGACAUUCCCACAGGUAAAUUCAUCACAAAAGGCCACAAGGAACUGUGAAUAAGCGCCAGAAUCAACAUGAGACACACAUUUGCAAAGACCUCCUAGGCUGUAAAGCAGUUGUUUUCCAUGUUUAAAAGAAGACAAACUUGAAAAUAACAGCAGCUUUGAAAAAGAACCAAAUAGGACUUCUAGAAAAAUAUGACAACUGACAGGUUAAAUCGGCAGAUCAGACCCAGCUGAAGAGAGCAGUCCUAUACUAGGUCAGGGUUCAGAGACCUUUCUCUGUGAAGGUCAGAUAGUGAAUAUUUUAGACUUUGAGAGCUGCAUGCUGCUUCUGUCACAGCCACUCAGCUCUGCGAUUGGAGCACAAAAGCAGCCAUAGAUGAUACAUAAGUGAAUGAGCAUGGUUUUGUUCCCAUAAAGCGUUCUUUACAAAAACAGAUGGUGGGCUGGAUUUGGCCCAGGGACUCUGUAGUUUGCUGACCCUUGAACUAGAGGAUCAGAUUAAGUUACCUGGGAUUCAUCGUGGAGAACGUGGAAAGUACGAAAGAGAAAGAACGAGUCUUUACAGAGGAAAUCUAGCAUACAUUUAAUCGGAGGGAGAAGAGAAAGUAUGGUAAUAGUAGAAGAGAAAGAGACAGAUUUCCAAAACCAGCAGAAGAUAGUAACCCACAGAUUCAGAAGUCUAGCAAAUGCCAAGCAGAAUGUGUAAAAGGAAGUUAAACCCAAGACCUCCCCUGGUGAAACUGCUACUAAUAUAAAAUACUGGAAGCACUCAGGAGAAAAACCAGGUGACCUUCAAAGGAGCAAUAGUUGGACUAACAGCUGAUUUCUUGGCAGUGAACAUGAAAGCCAGAGAUAGUCUCUCUACUUAGAAUUUUUGAACCCAGCAAAAAAUAUCUGUACAGGACCAAGUGAAAUCAAGACAUUUUUCAGGCAGACACUGAGAGGGUUUAUGCCUGGCAGCCCUGAGGAAAAUCCUAAAGGAUAGUGUUCAGGCAGAAGGAAAAUUUAACCUCACUAAAAUGACAGCUUUCUUAAUUUUAGGGUAAAACAAGCCAUGAAAUAGGAAAAUUGUAGCAUGUAUAGCCAGCAGAGUAAUUGUAUUCAGAAUAUAUAAACAAUACAAAUCAAAAAGAAGAAAGACAGCUGCACCCCCCCCAAAAUGGCUGAAACUGAAGGGCUGACGCUACUCAGUAUUGGUGAGGCAGUGGAGCAGCUUCGCUCGCACGGGGCGGGCCCCGUAAGUUCACAGAAUCCCUCUGGCAUCAAAACGAGAUGGAGGCCCUGUUGACCCAGCCCGUCUGCUCUUAGCUGUGUAGCCAACAGAAACGAGUGCUUGUGUUCACCAGAAGGUCGGGACGAGAAGAGCAGUGUAUUCAGAAUAGCCCCAAACAGGAAACGACCUGAAUGCUCCCCAGUGGAAGGACGGACAGAGAAAUUGUGCCGUAUUUACGCAGCCGAGUGCGACAGAGCUGCUCCUCCCGCUGCAGACGAAGCGGACGCGCCCCGCACGUGCGGUGUCCAGUGAGAGAAGCAGACGCGAGAGCCCACACUCUGGGUUUGCAUUUGCCUCGGGAGUCGAGUCGAGGCAACACGUAGCUGUCACGAUAGAAAUCCCAGUAGUGCCGUUAGGACAUUGUAGAGGGGGUGCGAGGAGCCUUCGGAAGCACUGACGAUGUUUGGAUGUCUUAAAUGUGCAGCGUUACAAACAGUUGUUCGUCAGAAGUCAUCGAGCUCGCUGCACGGAAAGUUUGUGAACUUAACAGAAAACGCGGCGUGAAGACCCUGACCGUGCGACGUCAUAGAAGAGGUUAGUGCGGGUUACACCGGCGUCGUGGACGAUGCUUGACGCCAUUGAAUUACACGCCUCAGAUGCUUAAAUAGUCAAGUCUUACCACAAUUUAGACAAAUAAAACAUUUUUUAAAAAAGGGUGGCCAGGGGACCAAUAAACAUACUCAACUUAAUUAGGAACACAAAUGAAAACCACAGAGAGACACACACCGGUCAGACAGCAGAAAUGGUAAAACCCAGCAAUACCAAAGGGCCAUGAAUAAGCAGAGCCACAGGAACCCACAGUCGCGCUUAGCUGGGGCGGGGGGUGGGUUGGCACGGUCCCCUUGGGAGAUAGUUUAGCCUGAUCUAGCAAAGCCCUGCAGUUGCACCCCGCUAGAGAAACUCGUGCACCUGUGUACCAGGGUGCGGUGUUGUAAGAGCCGAAGACCAGAAGCAGCCCAGGGGGUUGUGGACAUUCCAUCGGGUGGAUGAGCUUGCGUUAUCCUGUAGUGGGAUGGAUAGUACAUUGUGAAAGAGUCGUAGGUGACUCACAGGUAUAGUACAUUGUGAAAGAGUCGUAGGUGACUCACAGGUAUAAUUUAUUUUCUGCCUCUCAUAAGCAUACUUUGAGCCAAGAGGUUUAAAACUUACUCUGAUAAACUCCGCAUUGGUUACCCUCCCCGCCCCCAGCUCUUAGUCUUCCUUCACAGAAAUUACGUUGGCCAUUGGAAGGGCUAGGAAGUCACAUAAUACUUUUUCCGUCAUGGCCAGGGCCUUACCUGUUAUGUUUAUUGCUCUAUCCCCAGUGCUUAGGACUGUGACUAGCACAGGAUAGGCAGGGUAAAAAUGAUGGAAUUUUCAGGUGGUGGGGGUAUUCUCAGAAAAAUCUAAGAAAGGUCGAUUCUGGCCACAAUACAGAAGACCUCCACUUUCAUCCUAAUACCAGGAAAAAUCCAGAUAGUGUGAAAAUCACACUGAUUCUGUGGGUAUUACCCCCAAACCUAGUAGCAUUCUCUGGUGGCUGGCUCGGCUGGUAGCUCAGACCUUAGCUGGAGCUCUUGGCUGCGACAUCUACGUGUGGCGUCUCUGUGUGGCUGGGCUUCCUUACAGCCUGGUGGCUUGGUUCCAAGGAGCAACAUUCCAAAAAAGAGAGGGAGCCAGGCGGAAGCUGUGUCACCUUAUCUUCCCUGUCCCCGGAAGUCAUGGGGCCUUGUUUAUUCAGCAUCUUCUUGUUCAAGACAGUCCCAGAAUCCCACCCAGCUUCAAGGGAAGGGGAAGAGACGUCCCCUCCUGCUCUAGAAGAGCAUUUAGGCCUAGAAACAGCACCACGGCCAUCUUUGGAAACUAAGCUCUGUCCCCCGAGGACUGUCAAACAUGGCAGCAAGCCUUUUUGGAUUGAUUUCCAGAGAGGGGAGUUAAUCCUAGGUGAGCAGGAUGGUACAGCAGCUUUCGGGGGCAAAUGUCAGGUCUGCGUUUGGGAAAGUCGGCGAGAGGCCUGGCUGCAGGAAGUUCACUGGCUGGAGAAGGAGCCAGAGGAAAGAAGUUAUUGGCACCAGUGAGAACAAACAAAGCAGAUGGCCAAUAAGCACGUGAAAAGAUAAUCAGUAGCAUUAGAAAUAUUAGGAAAAUAAAAUUCAAAACCAUAGUGAGCUAGCACUCCACGUCUUCUAGGAGAACUGUAAUUUCCCAAAACAAAGAAUGACAGGUGUUGACAAGGAUGCAGAGAGAUUGGAGCCCUCCUAUACUGCUGUUGCAGUGUGCAAUGGUGUGGCCAUUACGAAAAGUGGAUCCUUAAAAAGCCAAAUGUAGAACUGUCCUAUGACCCAGCAGUUCCACGUGGAGGUAUAUACCAAAAGGCUCGGAAAGCAGGGACUCCGGCCCUUGAAACCAGUGGUCGUUGCAGCGUUAUUCACAGUGGCCAGAAGAUGGAAACCACCCAAGUAUUCCUCGACAGCUAACUGGAUAAACAGAAUGGGGUGUGUCCGUACAGUGGAAUAUUAUUCACCCUUCAAAAGGAAUGGACUUGUGAGUCGUAUUAUAUGUGGAUAGACCGGGAAUACAUUAUACUAAGUAAAAUAAGCCAGAUAUAAAAGGACAAAUGUUGUAUGAUUCCAAUUAUAUGAGCUGGAAAUGCGAGACUACCAGGAGCAGGACUGGAGAAUUCAUUGUUAGGUUAUAGAAUUUUUGUUGUGUAAAAUUUUUGGAAAUAGAUGGUGGUAAUUAUACAACAUCAUGAAUAUAAUUAACGCCAUUGAAUUAUAUACUUAAAAACAGUUAAAAUGAGUUCAAUGGCAUAUAUUUUACCAAAGUUUUGGGAACUUAAAGAUGUAAUAUACAAAACCCAUCAAAUUUUAUACUUUAAAUCAGUGACUAGUGUGGUAUAUGAAUCAUAUCCCAAUAAAGCUUUUUUUUUAAUGGAAUCUGACAGCCUUGCAAGUUCAGUAUAAAAAUCUCCUAUUCACCCCUCCCCCCUUCCCCUUUUGCUAAGAGGAAGGAAAUAAGGGCAGGAGUAAAAGCAGAAAGAACUUGCAGUCUCGCCAUCUCCUGAUCCCCUGGAACUCUUGAUCCCAAAGGUAACACUGCAGCCCAGCUGCCUCCUGGCUCCAGGCUCCAGCUCCGACAUGUAUACAGCUGGUAACCUAAACCCUAAGCAAAGACAGUGUCAGGCUAACCAGAGCCGAGUCCAUUCUAAAUCUGUGAACACGUCCCCAGUCAACUGAGUACUUGGCGAAGCCUGCAUACUCCCCUCCUCGCUUGAGGUGCAGAUGGGAGGCGGGCCUCUCUCGCUGCGGAAGCUUAGCAUGCUUCAGUCACCACGCCACUGUUGUUCUAUAUAUGUGUCGGUGUACCUAGCAAAACUAUGUGACACUCCCAAAAGGAAGACCCACAGUCGCACUUCAGAAAUCAAAAAAUAAUGUACAGAUGAUCCGGCGUUGGAAGUAGCAUGCGGAGACUUUAUAAUAACCGUUUUGCCUAAAGAUGUACAGGAAAGUAAAAGAAUGUUUGAAGAAAGAAUCUGAGCGGAGAAAUGGGAACUAUAAACACAGACAGAAAGCCAAUCUGCGUGUGAAGUUUAAAACCAGUAUCCAGAAUAAAAAUGAUUUGGUUUAACAGCAGAGUGAAUACUAUAGAAGAACAAGAACAGUGAUCUUGAAAACAUGUCGAUAGAAAUUACCUAAAAUGAAGCUCAGAGAGGCUGAGAAGAGAUUGGACGGAACAGUAGCGACCUGUGCAGCAGUACCAGGCCGUGCACCGUAUGUGCGAUCGGAGUCCUGGGGGAGAGGAGACAGAAUGGGAUGGAAAAAAUAUUUGAAGAGGCAGUGGCCAAGCUUGUCCAGAUUUGUUGGGAGGAAAAACAAAAAACAAAAAAAUGGGAAUCCAUGAAUCCAAGAAGCUCUGUGAACUCAAACUGUAAAUACCAGAAAACCAUCCAUAGCUAUGUCAUAGCUAAGCUUCCGAAAACCAAAUACCAAAAGAAAAAUUGUAAAGCAGCUGAAGAAGAGAGGCUGAUGACAUAAAGAGAAACAGUGUGCUGUGCAGUUAAAUACCAAGGUUUUAAAUAGAUGGCAACUGUAGCAAAAGGCAGAAAGAGUAGCUUCCUUGGGGUUGGUCCGAGCUUCUCAACUGAUGAUCCUGAUUCUGCCCCCAGAGGAAUUUCACAGUCACAUCUGGAGACACGUUUGAUCCUCAUGGGGUGGGAGGGGCAGGGAGGCUGCAGAACAUCCCACAGCUUCCAAAACAAGGGACUAUGUGGCUCCAAGCGUCAGGAACGUCACAGCAAAGAAACCACCAGGAAGACAAAGAUUUCCUAGAACACAGAAAGCACUAGACGUAAGACACAUGAAAACUUGCUGAGUGCCGUUAAUCAUCAGAGACGUGCAGGUUAAAACCAUGAGAUUCUGUUUCAUACCCACAGAAUUACUGAAAUCCAAGAACUAACAAGGCCAAAUGUGGAAAAGAUACAGAGCAGCCAGAUCUCUUAAUACAUUGCUGGUGGUGGAGUUCCCGUCAUGGCGCAGUGGUUAACGAAUCCGACUAGGAACCAUGAGGUUGCGGGUUCGAUCCCUGGCCUUGCUCAGUGGGUUAAGGAUCCGGUGUUGCCGGGAGCUGUGGUGUAGGCUGCAGACGCAGCUCGGAUCCUGCGUUGCUGUGGCCCUGGCGUAGGCCAGUGGCUACAGAUCCGAUUCGACCACUAGCCUGGGAACCUCCAUAUGCUGUGGGUGCAACCCUAGAAAAG